AGAGUUUGAUCCUGGCUCAGGAUGAACGCUGGCGGCGUGCCUAAUACAUGCAAGUCGAGCGAACGGACGAGAAGUUUGCUUCUCUGAUGUUAGCGGCGGACGGGUGAGUAACACGUGGAUAACCUACCUAUAAGACUGGGAUAACUUCGGGAAACCGGAGCUAAUACCGGAUAAUAUUUUGAACCGCAUGGUUCAAAAGUGAAAGACGGUCUUGCUGUCACUUAUAGAUGGAUCCGCGCUGCAUUAGCUAGUUGGUAAGGUAACGGCUUACCAAGGCAACGAUGCAUAGCCGACCUGAGAGGGUGAUCGGCCACACUGGAACUGAGACACGGUCCAGACUCCUACGGGAGGCAGCAGUAGGGGAUCUUCCGCAAUGGGCGAAAGCCUGACGGAGCAACGCCGCGUGAGUGAUGAAGGUCUUCGGAUCGUAAAACUCUGUUAUUAGGGAAGAACAUAUGUGUAAGUAACUGUGCACAUCUUGACGGUACCUAAUCAGAAAGCCACGGCUAACUACGUGCCAGCAGCCGCGGUAAUACGUAGGUGGCAAGCGUUAUCCGGAAUUAUUGGGCGUAAAGCGCGCGUAGGCGGUUUUUUAAGUCUGAUGUGAAAGCCCACGGCUCAACCGUGGAGGGUCAUUGGAAACUGGAAAACUUGAGUGCAGAAGAGGAAAGUGGAAUUCCAUGUGUAGCGGUGAAAUGCGCAGAGAUAUGGAGGAACACCAGUGGCGAAGGCGACUUUCUGGUCUGUAACUGACGCUGAUGUGCGAAAGCGUGGGGAUCAAACAGGAUUAGAUACCCUGGUAGUCCACGCCGUAAACGAUGAGUGCUAAGUGUUAGGGGGUUUCCGCCCCUUAGUGCUGCAGCUAACGCAUUAAGCACUCCGCCUGGGGAGUACGAC
rnacentral:rRNA from 1 species